rnacentral:rRNA from 1 species
CUACGGGUCGCACCAGUGGGGAAUAUUGGACAAUGGGGGAAACCCUGAUCCAGCAAUGCCGCAUGUGUGAAGAAGGCCUGCGGGUUGUAAAGCACUUUCGGUUGGGAGGACUGCUUCUAGCACUAAUAUUGUUGGAAGUUGACGUUACCUUCAGAAGAAGCACCGGCUAACUCCGUGCCAGCAGCCGCGGUAAUACGGAGGGUGCAAGCGUUAAUCGGAAUUACUGGGCGUAAAGCGCGCGUAGGCGGCUAGAUCAGUCGGGUGUGAAAGCCCCGGGCUUAACCUGGGAACUGCAUCCGAUACUGUCUAGCUUGAGUACAGGAGAGGAGAGUGGAAUUCCACAUGUAGCGGUGAAAUGCGUAGAUAUGUGGAGGAACACCAAUGGCGAAGGCAGCUCUCUGGCCUGAUACUGACGCUGAGGUGCGAAAGCGUGGGGAUCAAACAGGAUUAGAUACCCCAGUAGUC